UACGUAGGGUGCAAGCGUUGUCCGGAAUUAUUGGGCGUAAAGAGCUCGUAGGCGGUUUGUCACGUCGGAUGUGAAAUCCCGGGGCUUAACCUCGGGUCUGCAUUCGAUACGGGCUGACUAGAGUUCGGUAGGGGAGACUGGAAUUCCUGGUGUAGCGGUGAAAUGCGCAGAUAUCUGGAGGAAUACCGGUGGCGAAGGCGGCGUUCUGGACUGCAACUGACACUGAUGAGCGAAAGCCAGGGGAGCAAACGGG
rnacentral:rRNA from 1 species